AAUGGCUCCUGGAAGCUGCAGAAUUAGAUCUUUCUCAAAUAAUAUAAUCUCACAGAAAGAGAGAAAACCAUCUCUUCAUUGGCCCUGUCUACUCUUGAAAAGGACUCAAGCUGGCCUCGAUGAGCAAUAUAAGCUCUGUGAAAUUCUUCAAUGAAUCCCCAGUGCCUUGAAGAGGAUGUGGCAGCUGGUUGCAGAGGCACUGGAUAUCAUCUCAGGUUCACUCCCCAUGCUGUCUGUUCUCUCCUUCCCUUCUGUCAUCCACCCUGAAGGUCCUGUUUCUCACCAGCUUGGAUAUAAGGAAGCAAUG